GACGAACGCUGGCGGCGUGCCUAAUACAUGCAAGUCGAACGCAGUGGGGACGGGUGAGUAACACGUGGGUAACCUCCCCUCAGAGGGGAUAACACUUGGACACCGGUGCUAAACCGAUACUGAUGGCUGGACCCGCGUUUCAUUAGCUAGUUGGUGAGGUAACGGCUCACCAAGGCCACGAUGCAUAGGCGACCUGAAAGGGGGAUCGGCCAGACUUGGACGGAGACACGGCUCAGACUCCUAGGGGAGGCAGAAGUAGGGAAUCUUCGGCAAGAGUCGAAGGGCUGACCGAGCAACACCGCGUGAGUGAAGAAGAUUUACGGAUCGUAAAACUCUGUUGUUAUAGAAGGGGUAGCUAACCAGAAAGAAACGGCUAACUACGAGCCAGCAGCCGCGGUAAUUC
rnacentral:rRNA from 1 species